rnacentral:rRNA from 1 species
CCUACGGGUGGCAGCAGUGGGGAAUAUUGGGCCAUGGGCGCAAGCCUGACCCAGCCACGCCGCGUGAAGGAAGAAGGCUUUCGGGUUGUCAACUUCUUUUGACCGGGAAGAGUAGAAGACGGUACCUGUCGACUAAGCCACGGCUAACUACGUGCCAGCAGCCGCGGUCAUACGUAGGUGGCAAGCGUUGUCCGGAUUUACUGGGUGUAAAGGGCGUGUAGCCGGGUUGACAAGUCAGAUGUGAAAGCCUGCGGCUUAACCGCAGAACUGCAUUUGAAACUGUUGAUCGUGAGUACUGGAGAGGCAGACGGAAUUCCUAGUGUAGCGGGGAAAUGCGUAGAUAUUAGGAGGAACACCAGUGGCGAAGGCGGUCUGCUGGACAGCAACUGACGGUGAGGCGCGAAAGCGUGGGGAGCAAACAGGAUUAGAUACCCGGGUAGUC